rnacentral:rRNA from 1 species
GGAUUAGAUACCCUGGUAGUCCACGCCGUAAACGAUGUCAGCUAGCCGUCGGGGUGCAUGCAUCUCGGUGGCGCAGUUAACGCAUUAAGCUGACCGCCUGGGGAGUACGGCCGCAAGGUUAAAACUCAAAGGAAUUGACGGGGGCCUGCACAAGCGGUGGAGCAUGUGGUUUAAUUCGAAGCAACGCGCAGAACCUUACCGGCUCUUGACAUCCCCUGCUACACGUGGAGACGCGUGGUUCCCUUCGGGGACGGGGUGACAGGUGCUGCAUGGCUGUCGUCAGCUCGUGUUG